CGGGGGGUGGCCUGAGACUCUGCAUUUCUAAGCAACUCCUGAUGGUGCUGACGGGCUGGUCCGCGGGCCACACUUCGAGUAGCAAAGUCUAAGUGUCAGCCAGCGCAGGAAGCGUUCGUUAACCCCUGGCAGCUCUCAGUGAAAGUAUUAAACAUCCGUCUGGCAACGUUGAAAUCUACUUGUGUAAGUGAAGACGACGAUCCUCACUGACACACCUGUGCUGAGACUAUGCGCGUGCACGCACGCACAGGAAGGAGAAAUAGGCAGAUGCGUUUGGACUUGGGGUGACAAGGCUUUCAGAGAAUUUCAACUUUAAAGUCAUCAGAUGUUCGUGCAAUAAACGAUUUUUUAAAAAAAGUACUUGAUCCAGACAGCAGACUACUGGAGGGGACUGUUGGCGGUCUGCUGUAAAAGGGCGCUUUAGAACUUCCUCCUUUUGAGAACCGUUCACGGUUCCAUGAGAAAAGCCUGGAAGUUGGUACGAUUCGGGUAGUAAUGGGGCUGAGAGAAAACCAGCUCUUACCAGUUAUUUGACAGAAAGCGAUCCCGUCAGCGGAGGGCGGUCCCCUUCCUGGUGCCACGUGGGAGGGGAGCAUUGUGUUCCUGUGGGGCCGGCCACCCAGCUGCUCGCAGAGUUUGGUGGCGUCGCCACAGCGCCGUGCGGCUCUCGCUGGCGUUCUGUCCUGGACUGGCGCGUGCCUGUUUCCCCAACCCCAGCCAUCCCGAAGAGGGAAGUGGUCCCGCUCUGAAGGCCAUGCCCUUAAGUGGCAGGACUGUGUUCAGCCACGGAGGUGCCAUCGAGUCAGCAGGGAGGUUCCCGGGGACCACUCCGAAGGGGGUGUGGUCCUUUGGGUGCAGAAGCUCCGGCUUAUUCAAGACAGCAUUAUGUUGACUUCGGUCAGGCUUUACUGUGCCAGGGGCGAGACCCCCAAGCUGGCUCAGCAGCUCUGACAGCCUCUCUCCUCAUAGGUGCCCACCGUGUGCGGGAGGGUUGAACUCAGUGUGCUGGCUGGCAGGGCUCGACGUGCGCGUGUGUACAAGUCAGCUGAGGCUCGUGGUGGCACCCUGCCCUCUGACAAACCAGCGGGUUCCUCUUCUGGCCGAGAGAAUUCGCUUGAGUUCCAAGAAAAGCUCCAAGUGCAAGCCCUUCGAGGCAGAUGCCGAUCUGCCCAUUUUACAGACCACGAGACUGAGG
rnacentral:lncRNA from 1 species